AAGAGGUCCAGCCUGCCCAGUGACCCAGUUCAACGGCCGCGGUAUCCUAACCGUGCGAAGGUAGCGUAAUCACUUGUUCUUUAAAUAAGGACUAGUAUGAAUGGCACCACGAGGGUUACACUGUCUCCUUUUUCUAAUCAGUGAAACUAAUCUCCCCGUGAAGAAGCUGGGAUUUUUUUAUAAGACGAGAAGACCCUAUGGAGCUUUAAACUAAUUUAUACUUGCUGCCCAUUUUUAUUUUUCAGAAACUCUUCACAAAGCAUAGCAUUCUAAUUUAUAGUUUUAGAUUGGGGUGAUCGCGGAGCAAAAAAUAACCUCCAUGCCGAAAGGGCCUCCUUCCCUGAGCAAAAAGCUACUACUUUAAGCACUAAAAAAUUAACGUUUAUUGACCCAAUAAUUUUGAUCAACGAACCAAGUUACCCUAGGGAUAACAGCGCAAUCCACUUCAAGAGCUCCUAUCGACAAGUGGGUUUACGACCUCGAUGUUGGAUCAGGGUAUCCCAGUGGUGCAGCCGCUACUAACGGUUCGUUUGUUCAACGAUUAAAACCCU
rnacentral:rRNA from 1 species